GCGACCGCCCCGCCGGGAGGCCCUGCACGCACGCGCCGCCGGCCGGGCCAGGUACCCAAGGGAGAAGCGACGCGGUUGGGGAGGUGGGGGGUCCUUAAAGAGACAGUCCCUCUGCGCUGGAGUGGAUGGGGCGGUGGCACCGACUCAGCUGGACUAUGCGGCGUUUCCAGUGCGCUCUCCAAGUAUGUUCUCCAGUUACCAAGGGAGAUGGAGGGACAGGAACCUGAGAGGAAGCCUGCCUGGAAGAAGGGGGCUGCUGGUCCUCAGUCCCUUGUGAAUGCCCAGCCUCUAGUGGUGGGAUUAAGAAUGCAGCCUCUGCCCUCCAACCUUAGGUCAAGACGCUCAACCAGAGUCUCCCUCCACAGAGUACCAUCAUGGCAUUUCCCAGCACAGAGCACAGGACAGCUGGGACAAUCCUUGUGGGACAAAUGGACGAUGGACAGAAGCAUCUGCUUCCAACAGGAGGGUCUCAACCAUCCCCUUAGAACCUAUGCCCCCUUUGGAUAGUAUUUUAUGACAUCCCCCAUUCCACUACCAUGAAAUGAAAAUCAUAGCAUAAUCUGCCUACACACAUAAUUGCAAAAAAUAAAUGCAUGCAUAGGUUCACCAAAAGACACGUACAAGAAUGUUCACAGCAUCAUUAUUCAUAAUGGCCAGACACUAGAAACAACACAAAUGGAUAUGGUAUGUCCACAUGAUGAAAACGAACAAACUUCUGCCAGGCACGGUGGGCACAGUGGCUCAUGCCUGUAAUCCCAGCAUUCUGAGAGGCCAAGGCGGGCAGAUCACUUGAGGUUAGGAGUUUGAGACCAGCCUGGUCAACAUAGUGAGACCCCGUCUCUACUAAAAAUUCAAAAAUUAGCGGGGCAUGGUGGCGGAUGCCUGUAGUCCCAGCUACUCGGGAGGCUGUGGCAGGAGAAUCGCUUGAACCUGGGAGGCGGAGGUGGCAGGGAGACGAGAUCGCGCCACUGCACUCCAGCCUGGGAGACAGUGAGACUCUGUCUCAAAAAAAAAAAGAAAAUGAACAAACUUCCAAUUCACACAACAACAUGGAUGAAUCUCACAAAUACGAUUUUGGCUGAAAGAAGUCAGACAUGAAAAAAGCAUGCAUGUAUGUUUCCAUUAUAUCAAGUUCAAAGGUAGGCAAAAUUAAUUUAAGGUGUUAGAAGUAAGGAGAGUAGUUACCUAGAGGAGUUGUGACUGGGUGGCACCAUGAGUUGGACUUCCAGGGUAUUGAGAGUGUUCUGGUUAUGAAGGUGUGUUCAUUUUGCAAAAAUUCAUAGAGGUGUACUCAUAAGAUUUGUCCACUUUUUUGAAGUAUGUAGUUAUUCAAUAAAAAGUUUACUUAAAAAAAAACAAUCAAUCAAUACAAUGCCCUAACUGUAAUAUAAAAAAGAAAAGGCCGCUUGCACCUAGAGUCAAUUCAUAGCAAUUACAAAUGCAGACA
rnacentral:lncRNA from 1 species